rnacentral:rRNA from 1 species
AUUAAACGCUGGCGGCAUGCCUUACACAUGCAAGUCGAACGGCAGCACGGGGGCAACCCUGGUGGCGAGUGGCGAACGGGUGAGUAAAGCAUCGGAACGUGCCCUGGAGUGGGGGAUAACGUAGCGAAAGUUACGCUAAUACCGCAUAUUCUGUGAGCAGGAAAGCAGGGGAUCGCAAGACCUUGCGCUCUGGGAGCGGCCGAUGUCGGAUUAGCUAGUUGGUGGGGUAAAGGCCUACCAAGGCGACGAUCCGUAGCGGGUCUGAGAGGAUGAUCCGCCACACUGGGACUGAGACACGGCCCAGACUCCUACGGGAGGCAGCAGUGGGGAAUUUUGGACAAUGGGCGAAAGCCUGAUCCAGCCAUGCCGCGUGAGUGAAGAAGGGCCUUCGGGUUGUUAAAGGACUC